rnacentral:rRNA from 1 species
AUGGCUCGCGGCGAUCAUCAAGACGACGAUGAUGAUUUCAUGGAGUUACCGCGGCAGAAUCAGGCAACUGGACAGAGAAAAGAUGGUGAUGAGAAGAAGAAACGUAAUCACAAUAGGGCUUCACAGGAACGCCUGACUAUAUUGACCGAGGGAUUCACCGACGACCAGAAGGGAGCUGCUGCUGAGUUGGGGAUGCAGGCUCUGAUGGAUGUUCGGUGCAAGAAUCUAGUGAACCCUGUAUGCGACUGGCUCGGUGAGAUUUACGAGCCCGCCUCCAGGGAAUUUGUGAUUCCGGGACAUGGAAGACUGCCAUUAGACGAGGAAUCCGUGUUCUGCACAUUGGGUGUGCCCCGUGGAGAAAUCAAAGUCCCGUAUGAGGUCAAUAAUACGAUUGAGGAAACGUUGUUUGCCCGUUUGUUUCCUGGGAUGACAUCCAUGCCGAACACGACCGUGCUGGCAACUUCGCUGGAGGGCAUGAAAACCCAUGGCGAAGUUUUUAAGAUGAAGCUACUCAUGUACCUGAUCUCAGCUGUUUUUGCGCCGACCACAUCUCUUCGCCCAAGCAACAAAUGCUUCCCCAUCCUGGUGAAUGCUCUAUCUCUACUCCUUCAUUUUUUCCUUCAAUCUUUUGACUCCUAUUUCAUAUCAACUUCUUGUCCUGAAAUUUAUGUCGUGCAGGCAAAACUGAAAGAAGUGAAGAACAUGAAUUGGUGUAAGUUCAUUGCGGACUUCCUGCAUGAUGCAUUCUCAAACAAGAUGUACCAGAAGGGUUGUCGACUCCAUUUAAUGCUCAUGUACGUCGAUCGUCUUGAUCUGUCCACUGUGGACUUUACUGGGAUAGGAGGCCCGCCGCCUCCACACAAGUUUCCUAUUUCUGCGUGGACUUACGAUGCUGUCAAGGCUGUGCUUGCCGCGGACAAGAUAACUGAUACGAAAUACGGGAAACUACAGCUGAUGGCCAAGCAUGCUAUAGACUACGGCGUGUUUGGUGGGCCUCAAAACUUUGGAAAGUGGAUGGACGUGCACUCAGCUCCGUCUUGUCUUGUUGAGGCGAGGGCACCUGUUGAGCAUCUAAUUGGGCAGUUUGCAUCCGGAAUGACCAGCUUGCUCGGGAAGUUGGUUGAGGGUUGGACGUCCCUUAAUGGCUCUGACAGCGACGCGGUUGCGAGGCAGUUCACUCCUUUUGUUGCAGAACGGACACAUCGGCCAACUGGUUGCCGUGGUCGGUACGACUACAACAGCUCGCAGGAGCUUCCGGACACACAAGAUGAACUAGAUGGAGAUGCUGCUCUCGACAAGGACGAUGACGAUGACAUGGAGAACGUGCAUCAUGACACCGACGAUGAUGAACAUGUUGAAGUUCGUGCAGGUGGUAAGAAGGGCAAGGGUGCACCAGAUGUCCCCUCACCAGAGAAAGUCAAAGAACAUACAGCUGCGAGAGGCAAGGGGGUGUCGCCCUCAAAGAGGGGGAGGGAUCCAGAGGAUGUUGGGCAGGGCUCUCGUGUCAAGAGACCUAGGACCGAUCCCUUAGCUGCUGGGAGGAGUGAGGCGACAGCUGGUGGACGAGUAGUUACGAAGAAACAAGCACCAACGCCCACCCGUGUUUCUGCUCAAUUUAACAAGGGUGCCCCUAUUGCUAGUGACACGCCUUCCACUAGGUCAUCUCCUCGUACGUCAACGUCCAACACCGGUGAUCCUGUCGUGUUGCCGGAUUUGAGGAAGACAGUCAAGAAGGUGAAGAAGACUACCACACGCAUGACGAAGCAGAACCCUAGAGACCCACUCGAACGCAUACACUCAAAGCUGUCGACAGGUGGCAACUCAGACGUUCAUGAGGCGCCAGUGGACAAACCUGCUGCUGCAGCAUCCACUGUUCCCACUAGCUCUGAUGCAAGCGGCCGAGCAUCUCCGCCGGUUGCAGAUGUGACUGCUGAAAUAUUGCCCACUCUGCUAGCAAUGAAGGAUGCUGCUGUGAGCCAUACCACCCGAUCAGCAAGUGUUGAAGUGGACGCCCCCGAGAUCAACCUAAGCAAGGAAGAUUCCCGCUCAUCUAACAUGGAUUCCAAGCACGUGGGUGGUGGCACUUCUUCGUCCACGAAAGAAGGGGCUGAGGCGGCAGUUCAUAAUGAUAUGCCAUCCAUAGGUGAGACUCUUGGCACAACAGCUCCAGCUUCUGGUCCUCCAGAGGUUGCCAAGGUGACCGUUGCGCGAGCUGGUCUUCCACCUAGGCGGCGUAGCCCCCGCAAGCAAUCUGCAGACAUACCCAAUGCGCCGGCUGUAGCUAGGAGCAGCAGAGAUGACUCUGGUUAUGUGCCUACGUCCACACUGUACCCACCACCUACCAGAAGCAAUGUUAUGGAGAGAACGGAAGACCGGAGUACAACCGACCCAGGUGGCAAGCUGGGCACGACUGACGGAGGUGAACGUGCGGAGCAGACGACGUCUUUACCCGUAGUGGAUAACCCCAGCUUAAAUCUGUGCACUUCUAAGCUCCCAGUCAACAUCGGUGUCCCCUACAGCCCAAACAAGAAGAUUGUGAAGAAAGCUGCGACUGAUACCGCUGACAGCACGCCCCGCCCUACGAAUAAGCCCGAUGAUUCUGCAGCGGCCGAUGCAGAAAUGUUUGUUGAUCUUUCACCCUUGGAUUCUGCCCAGCAAGUUGUUCGCGGUCCGUCCAGUAGGCAGGAGAGGCACCCAAUGGCCUUCACCCCACCGAGCUGUAGCCUUGGCAUCGAUCGCAAUCAAGAUGAACCAGUGGUGCAAGAUCCUUCACCACUUGCCUUUGCUUUCCCGGCAGGCAUGGCCCCAAUGAUGGCGCAGCCAAUGGUCGAGGGCAGGAAGGCUAUGACGUUCGCAGAGCCGGUUGUGCAAGCCACCCCUGAGGAGAUUACGCCGUCACUUGAUGAAGCUUACCGCAGGAUUGAGGAGCGUAGGGUAGUUCACGCGCCACCCGCGGAUGAUUAUGAGCCGGAAGUCAAGGCCACAAAGGAUCAGAACCAACUGUACGAUAUUGUCAAGCGCUUUGGAAAUGCGCGGUCCAACAACAAGCACAUGAAGGAGCUGAAAGCCUCAUGUUUGGACAGAACCAAGAUCAUACAAUGUGAUGUGACGUACGUCGACCUGGGUGAUCUUGCCGAGUCUGUGAGGCCACUCGGUAAAAUAUCGAAGAAUGUAGUUGCAUGUGGGAUUGACUUCAUCAACAGGCAUAUGGAUAUGUCUCCCGACAAAACAAUCAUGCAGUACACUGUGACGUGCAAAAUAUGGGAUGGUGACUUCCACCACAAAAUCAAGAGGAAGCAUUUUGCUGCGCAUGGUGAUUUCAAGCUCACAAUGAAGAAAUUAGCUAUGCUUCAGAUGUGGGCUACACCCUGCUUUGUGACAGCUGUUUCAUGUGGCAACAGCUGCCAUGUCUUGUUCCCCAUGUUCCAGGAGCUUGCACCACACGACCCACACGACAAGUGUGGUCACCACUAUGCGAUCUGCCUUGACCUGAAGAACCAAUGUUUUGAGGUGCUUGAUUCAAUGCGUUCAGAAGCUGAUGCAGACCUUACUACGCAUGCUGAAUACUUCAUCAACAACCUCAAAGAGACAUGGAACUGUCACUAUGAAAACUCAAAGGUCCAGAUCAGACAUUUUCCAAUUGAGUACGUGGUGACUACGAAGCAAGGAAACCGGCACGACUGCGGCUUCCACAUGUUGGAAUACCUUGCAAAGUGGGAAGGUCGACGGGUUCCUGUCGUCACAGCUGGAAUGGUCGUCGAGCUCCGCAAAAUCUACACAUGGAACUGGUUGAUGAAUGAAGAUUUCAACACGCGGUCCAACACACGUGAGUUCAUAGAGGAAGCUGUGAAGAAAGCCACCAAGAAGUACAAGUGA